UCUCGUUAUAAAUUUGUCACUUCUUGAGAUUCUAUACACAGCCAAAUUAGCCUUCCCUCACAAUACACACUUGUACCAACUACCUCUUCAACCAUAUUGCAUAUGGGAUUUUCUCAAAGGAGUUCAUCUCCACCGUCCUCUUCUUUUUUCAUGCAUGCUUUAUCCUUCUCUGGUGGUGUGGCUUGUCAGUCACCUCUGUUGUUGGUGGGAAUAAUGAGACGGACCGGUUGGCGUUGCUUGAGUUCAAAGCCAAGAUCAUUGAUGAUCCUCUCCAGGUUUUGAGCUCUUGGAAUGAUAGCAUCCACUUUUGUCAAUGGCGGGGGGUUACCUGUGGUCGUCGACAUCAGAGGGUCAUUGUGUUGGACCUGCGAACUUCGAAACUGAUAGGCUCCAUAUCACCACAUGUUGGAAAUUUAAGUUCUUUGAAGAAUCUAAUACUCUCAAACAACAGCUUUCAUAAUGAAAUUCCUUCAGAAAUUGACCGUUUACGCAGAUUGCAAUUCCUACUAAUGUCCAAUAACACAUAUAUUGGCAAAAUUCCAAGAAAUUUAUCCCAUUGCACCAACCUCAAAAUCAUUGAUUUCAGUCGCAACCUUUUGGAUGGGGAAAUCCCUACAACUCUUGGCACUUUGUCAAAACUUCGACUCAUUAAUUUUGAUUUUAAUGAUUUGACAGGAAGUAUCCCACCUUCUUUCGGCAACUUAUCCUCUCUAAAAGUGUUUGGUACAGCUUAUAAUAACUUGGGUGGGAGUAUCCCUACUUCUUUUGGACAAUUGAUGAAACUUACAUUCUUUGGUGUCGGUGUAAUUAAAUAGGUUGUCUAGAAGAAUUCCUCCCUCAAUCUUCAAUUUGUCUUCGUUAAAAGUGUUUGUUGUAGGACUCAACCAAAUCCAAGGGCAUCUUCCAUCAGACAUAGGUAUCACUCUACCAAAUAUCGAAAAAAUUAGCAUUUCCUCCAAUCAAUUUACUGGACCUAUCCCUAUUUCAAUAUCUAAAGCCUCAAAUAUAAAGCUUCUUGAACUUGACGAAAAUAAACUAAGAGGAAGAGUUCCUUCUUUGGAGAAGUUAUAUAGAGUUUCAAUGUUUGUCAUUGCUUUUAACGAGCUUGGAAAUGGAGGGGCAAAUGACUUGAUUUUUCUUUGUUCUUUGACAAAUUCUACAUAUCUAACCUAUUUAGUGAUAAACAUGAAUAACUUUGGGGGAGAGUUGCCCAAGUGCAUUGUCAAUUUCUCAACUACUCUCACCUUCUUGUAUUUAGAUAAUAAUAAAAUAUCUGGGAACAUUCCUCUUGGGAUAGGAAAUCUGAUCAAUUUGGAGGAUCUACGGAUGUGGAACAAUAAAUUAUCAGGAAAUAUUCCUUCUGAAAUUGGAAAACUUCGAAAGUUACAAAUGUUGGCUUUAUCUCAAAACUAUUUCUUUGCUCUCUUGGAAAUUUAACUCUUUUGAUAAGAUUGGAUUUAGGGGAUAAUAAUCUUCAAGGAAGCAUCCCUUUGAGUCUGGGCAAGUGUCAAAAUAUGAUUGAUUUGACUCUUGCUAAUAACAAUCUUAGUGGUACCAUAUCAUAUCAAGUCUUUAGUCUCUUAUUCUCACUAAUUUUUCUAGACUUGUCAGCCAACAAAUUUGCUGGUGUCCUUCCCAUAGAAGUAGGAAAUUUCAUAAAUCUACAAGAGUUUAAUAUUACGGAAAACAUGUUUGGCGAAAUUCCUGCGAGUAUUGGUAGUUGUGUAAAACUUGAAAUUCUAGCAAUGAGAAGCAACUUCUUUCAAGGGGUCAUUCCUUCAUCUUUGGAAUCAUUAAGGGGUCUUGAAGUUUUAGAUCUUUCUAAAAACAAUUUCUCUAGAAAUAUUCCAAAAUUUUUGGAGAGCUUUAUCUUCUUGCAGUUAUUGAAUUUGUCUUAUAACGAUUUUGAUGGUGAGGUACCAACAAAUGGAGUUUUCAAGAACACAAGUGCAAUUAUGAUUAAGGGGAACAGUAAGCUUUGUGGAGGCAUGCCUAAGUUUCAUCUUCCUGUAUGUAAAUACAAUAAAUCCAAGAAGAGGAAGUUGACUCCUUCCUUGAAGCUAAUAAUCUCUAUAUUAUCUGGCCUUCUUGGAGUAACUUUGGUAAUGUUAUUUUUACUUCUCCGCACUUUAAAAAGAAAAAGAAGAGAAAGUAUUUUAAGUAAUUCGGGAAAUUUACUUUUGAAUGUAUCUUACCAUUGUCUCCUAAAAGCUAUAGAUGCAUUCUCCAUCACUAAUUUAAUUGGUGUGGGUAGCUUUGGAUCUAUGUAUAGAGGAAUUCUUGAUCAAGAUUGUUGUAAAGUUGCUAUCAAGGUACUCAACCUUUUGCACCAUGGAGCUUCCAAAAGUUUUAUUGCUGAAUGUGAGGCUUUGCGAAAUAUCAGACAUCGGAAUCUAGUGAAGGUACUCACAGCAUGUUCAGGUGUUGACUAUCAAGGUCAUGAUUUCAAAGCAUUGGUAUACGAGUUCAUGACUAAUGGCAACCUAGAUGGGUGGUUGCAUCUAGUUUCAAGAAGAAAUGAGGUUCCUAAGAAAAAAAAUGAAUUUGAAUCUUCUUCAAUGAUUGAAUAUUGCUAUUGAUAUUGCACAUGCAUUGGAAUAUCUUCAUCAUCAUUGCCAUACACCAAUUGUUCAUUGUGACCUCAAACCUAGCAAUGUUCUUCUCAAUGAUGAAAUGAUUGGACAUGUUGGUGACUUUGGCUUGGCAAGGUUCCUUCAGGAGGCUACCCAAGAGUGUUUCACUAAUCAAUCAAGCUCUAUCAGAUUAAGAGGAACAAUUGGUUAUGCUCCUCCAGAAUAUGGUAUGGGAAACGAGGUGUCAAUUUAUGGUGAUGUCUACAGUUAUGGCAUACUAUUAUUGGAGAUGUUCAUAGGAAAAAGGCCCACUGAUAACAUUUUCAAAGACAACUUGAACCUUCAUGAUUUCGUUACAAGAGCUAUGCCUGAACAAGUGAGUAACAUUGUGGAUCCUAUUAUUUUUUGGAAAAGUGAAGAUAUGGAAACAAGGACAAAUGAUACUCAAAUUCAAAAUCGAAUAGGAUGUCCCAAAAUUCUGGAGUGCUUGAUUUUGAUAUUUGGAAUAGGAGUUUCUUGUUCUAUGGAAUCUCCAAGAGAAAGGAUGAACAUUAGUGAUGUUGUAGCUCAAUUGCACUUGAUGAGAGAAAAGCUCCUCAGAACAAGAAUAUGCCGAGAAAGACUUCAACUUACAGGUAAAUUGUUCAUGACACAAUACUUGUUGCUCUAACACCCACUCCAAACCUUUAUGGAGGGAGGGGGGUCACAUAUCCUACACAAUGCCAUGUGCUUGUCACAUACUUUCUUUUAUUCUAGCGAAAUUGACAAUAUUGAUGCCAUGAGAAAUUUGAUUACAAGAUGGUACUAUUCAUCCAUGUGUUUUCUAUGAUUCCGAAUAAGCUCAUUUUUUGUCCCCGCCCCCCUAAAAACGUUUGUUGAAAAACAUAAAAAUCAAAAUGAAGUUUAAGCUAUUUUUGAUUUGGUGAUACCUACUGGUGUGGUUGAGAUUAUUGGCAUGUGUUUACACUAUACUUCUUAUAGUCUGCCUUCGAUGACUUUGACAUAGACAUGGGCUUAAAUUACUCCCAGUAUUUGGUAAAACUAAAUUACUAAGAACAAUUUAGUUGUUUAUAAUCUUAACUAUCUCACAGGUACCUGGAUAUAUAAGUGGAUAACCAUUUCCAUAGAACAUUUAAUUAGUUUGGGAUUCAACAACUUAACUGUCUUGCAUUAUUAUGAAUUCUCUUAGUAGCAAGACUAAAACUAAAAUUGUUUUUCAAUUCCUUACUCUUGAAGGGAAAAUUUCAUUCACCGCAUACAAUCAAUCUAUUUUGAAAACCAAAGCAUGUUCUUCCUAUACAUAGAAAUGAUUUCCCUUAAUUCAAUGAUUUAGAAAGAUAAUUUUCUUCCUUGAAUGCAGGUACAGAGGGCCAAUGAUCCUAUUGGAAGUUGCCAUAAUGACUUGAUGAGGUUUUGAUUUUGUAUAAUGUUGGAGCAAAUUAAUCAGGCUUGUAGCAUCUCCUUAUGUUUCUUUUAGCAAUCGCGUAUUAGUUUCUUUUGUAUUUGUCAUAGUUUUCUUGUUUAAUUAUCUCUAUAUUUGUAAUGUACUAUCGAUUACUUGGUUAUGGCCUAGGUCUCAUGUAGAAAAUGAAUUCCAAUAUGCUUAACAAAGUUGUGACACAAAGUGACAGAGACACAGAUGAAGAUGAGGAAAAGAGAAGAAAAAAUUUAAAAACCAUAAGCUUAGGAUAUUUAUUUUAAACAGUAUUAUCUAAUAUAUUUCAAUUUUUUAUUUAUUUAAAGAUUUGAAAAUUGAAAAGUCUCCGAACAAGAGCAAACGGAAUGACAAUAUUGAAAAUUGAAAACGAAUGAAAGUUGAAGAACUUUAUUGAAAAAAAAUAAAAAGAAAUUACAAGGAAAAAAAAUGAUAAAUUUAGAGAGUGCAAUUUAUAAUUUA